UACGUAGGGACCAAGCGUUGUUCGGAUUUACUGGGCGUAAAGGGCUCGUAGGUGGCCAACUAAGUCAGACGUGAAAUCCCUCAGCUUAACUGGGGAACUGCGUCUGAUACUGGAUGGCUUGAGUUUGGGAGAGGGAUGCGGAAUUCCAGGUGUAGCGGUGAAAUGCGUAGAUAUCUGGAGGAACACCGGUGGCGAAGGCGGCAUCCUGGACCAACACUGACACUGAGGAGCGAAAGCCAGGGGAGCAAACGGG
rnacentral:rRNA from 1 species